UACUUCGUGUUUCAUGAUGGGCUCUAGAAAUGUUAUUCACUGCAGUCCGAAAGAUGCUACUCGCCUCUAACCCUAAUUUUGAUCGAUCGCUUGAAAGCAUUUCGUUCAUCCUUUUCUGCAGCGGGUAUGACGCCUGCGAUUCCUUUAUCUCGAUCUCAUACUCUCUUUCUAUCUCUUGAGAUAAUCUGAUGCGUGUUGUUAUGGCUAUUUCGAGAAUCUUCUUCUCUGACUUGAAGUCAGGCAAAUGCUCUUACGUCGUCCAGCCAGGGCUACUGCGGUUCUGGGAUGCGAGGAACGUCAAACGCGGUGGUGAGCUGAUGUGGAUCGAUACGCUGCUUAUGGACGUGAAUAUUUAGUCUCUCUGUCCGGCCAGGUUACAUGGGGCUCUCCCUCUAACCCUAACUCCGCUCGAUCGAAGAAUUUGAUAUCGUCUCCCCUCUUCGUGCGGCCGCCGUGACGUCUGAGCUUCGAUAUCUGAAACGGCCUGAGUUAUGGACUUCGCUAUCUAAUGGUCUGAGUUAUGGCUUUUGCGUGUUCAAUCACCAUAAGCUCUCUCUUUCUCUCUCGAUAGUUUAAUUUUCUCUCUUUAUCAAUCUGCUAUUUUUCAUGGAUUGAUUUUGUUUGUUAUUCAUUUCUAAACUAUUUUGAUGUAUUUUUCAGUGUUUCUACCAUGCUUUGACUUAAAUCUUCAGGGCUCUCAUUCCUAAACAAUGGCUCGAUUCCAUUUUUCUUGGGGUGACGCUGACUAUCACCAUGAGACACUUGAUAAUUUGAAAAUUGCUGCUGGCCACUGUAGGCAAUUUGUGGUGAUCCGUCUUCUUCGAUAAUGGAAGGCUCACAAUGUAAUAAAGGAGGGAUUUUAUAAUGGUAACAUGGUCUUGCUUGACGAGAAGGAUCCAUCACCACACAUAAGCUUAACACUUUCAAGAUCUAUUGAGGGAAGCAUCAACCGUGACAUUGAUUUUCGGAUGUUUUUGGUCAGGUGAUGAGUAUCAACCUUUUGUAACAAUGAAAGCCAGUCUAUUCAGCUUCUGAUGUUAAUAAUCCCAAUGGACAGAGAAACUACGGUUUAUGUCAGCAUUAUUUAUUUGAUAGCUAAUCUACUUCAUGAAAGGUAAGUACUCUUGCGUGUUGAGCCAAAUGUGACGAAUACAACCAACAUCUAUACGAAAUUAGUUGGAGAUGAACAUAAAUCAGCUCUUAUCUGUCAGUUUAAUUACAUAAAGUUGUCAGUUAAAAUCCUUGCCUACUGUCUUAUGCCAGGUCGCUUACUUCUGAAAGAAAUUUCAGAUUAUGCUUUUAUUUAAAUACUACAUUAAAAACACAUGUUAUGUAGAGCUCAGGAAGGCCUCUCUUCAGCUUCUGCCAAGUAUGGCAGGAUUAAGAAACUUGAAUAUGUCGCUCUCUCUGAGUGUAAUAAUACCAACGCCCACCACUUGCUAAUUUCGCACACCAGAGUGGUGAGGACCAUCCAAAUGAUGAUAUGACAGGGGCUGUUAAUCCCUCCAUGGAUUCAAACCCAAUUGUAAACAACAUUGGUCCAGAUAACACCAACCAGUGUGAUACUACUGCAACAAUUGAAGGUUGUUCAUAAGUGUCUGAACCAAUUCCUCUGCAAAUUGAUCCACUGGUAAACACGAAGAGGAAACAACUGAUGGUGGCAAGGGUCCAAAUCUUAAGAAGCCCCCAAAUGCAUGAUCACUCCAGCGAUGGAGACAAUGAAGCUGGCGAAAAAAUUCCCAAUUCCAUUUCCGUUUCCUGGGUUUUUAUGCUUCACUCAGUAAUGUUGUUGUCUUUUUUAGUUAUCCAGUUCUGGUUUUCGUUAGUUUAAGUAUAAUUGGUACACCUGGUAAUUUUAGUAUUUAUGUUGUGGUCCUGAAUUUUUUUUAUUAACCAGAAUGUUGUUUUCAUAUUGUUCUGUUAUUAUUUGGAAACAGUCAAUAUAUAUAUAGAAACAAUAAACAGAUUUAAUUUUUAAAAAUUUCAGUAAGAGAAGUCUGUUGAUAAAAAAAAAGUAAGAGAAGUCUGUCUUAGAGACAAGGAUUAAAAUUAAAAUAAACGAUAUCAUAUAAAUACACUUGCGUAACAUGAUUUUAUAUACAUCUGAAUUUUUAAUAAUUUUGAUAAAUUAAAUUUGUUGGUAAAAAAAACAAGAGAAAUUUUGAUCGCUUAAUAAUGAAAGAAUAAGAUUAAAUAUUGUUUCAUUAUAUUAUUCAUCUUAACACAUGUAUUUCAUAAUUAUGAAAAGUAAAAAUUAUAAUGAGAAACUAUCAUAUAAUGUUUUUUGUUUUUGAAACAGACUGCCUUAUAUGAGUUUAAAUAUAUAUCUAUAUUUAAGUUUGAAAGAUUCUAUUAUAAUAAUUGGAUAUGUAAUAAAAAUUCAAAUAGAAUUUUAACAAAAAUUUAUUACUAAAUAUAAUUUAGUUAUGUACAGAAUUAAUCAAUAAUAUUCGAUUAAUUUCAAGAUAUCAAAUACAAUAUAAGAGAUCCUACCAAAUAUUUUGAAGACAUUGGUAUGUUUUUUUUGCUUUUAUAUUACAUAAAAUAUAUUAUUUAAUAAAACUAGGAUUCUAAUCAAAUAUAUCUAUAAAUUUAGAUAAUUUGAAGAAACUUCGGGUGUAGAUGAUUGUGUUUGUCUUAUAACUACAUAUCAUAUUCUGAUGAAGAUGAAAAUCAUAUAAACAACUGUAUACAUAUUAAACCAUUAAGCUACAUUCUCUAAAAAAUUAUUUUAAAGAUUACUUAAAGCAGAAUAUUUAAUAUAAUAGAAUAUAUUAUUUUAAGAUAUAUGCUUAAAAUUAUAUUCUAGCUCUUACUUUCACUUAUUUAGUUAUUUAUACAAUAUGUUUAAUCAUGCUAAUGAAGACCUUACAAUUUUGAUCAUUACAGUAAAAAAAGAAUUUAAAGAUUGGUUUGAACAAAAUAUUUAGAAUUCUAUCAUAAUUCUUAUAUAUACUAUUAUUUAAUAAUGUUUCAAAUAAUAGUAUAAAAUUGAUUAGUAUACCGUUUAAAUUGAUGACUCAUGACUCAAAAUUAUUAAGAACACCACAAAUAAUUAAAAUUAUUCUUAAAAUCAUGGAGAAACUGACAACUAAGCAAAAUCAAUUCUCAAAAGUAUAGGUAAUCCGACUAUAGUACUAAAGGCUAAAAUAAAUAGUUGUAAAGUUUGGACAAAUACCUUAAUAUACAACAAUUCAAAAAAUAAGAACAAAUAAAAUAAAAUAAUUAUUCUCUAAAAAAAAUAUUGUUUCAUUUGAAAAAAUCACGAUUAUGCAUGUUAUUAUGCAAUUUAGUCAGGCAUCUUUGAUGCUCAACAUUUUGAUAUCAUAUAUAAGUAAAUAAUUCAUGAAAAUAAUUGUUCAAACAUAAUAUAUUACCAAUCCACUGAAGCAAAAUAACUUCAAAUAUUUAACAGAGGUCAUUCAGUAUCUGUUAUAUUUCUUUGUAGAUAUUUAAAAUUUUACUGAUAAAUUUUUGAGUAGAAGUUCAAAUUUUACGUUAGGAUAUUAAAUAUAAUUAAUGUUUGGAUCCAUAAAAUAAUCCAGUACACACUAUAAAUACAUUUUUCUAUAGUUUAAUACACUAUUUUAAUUCAAAAAUAUUUUCUCUUAACCUCAUAUGUAGGAAUUAAACAUAAAAAUUAAAAUAUUCUAAUAAAUGAUAAUAAAAUUUGAUAAAUUUACUAAAAAUACAUUUUAAUAUCUAAAUUAUAUAUUUAAAUUAUUAUGAAAAUUAAGUACGUAGCGCGCGAAAUCCACUAAGCUCAAUGAUGCAAUACAUCGAUUUCGCCAUAAAGUGUAACCUGAAGGUUGGAAGCCGGUUUAAACUAUAUAAUUAUCUAUCUACAAGACCCACAUUUUAAGUUUGGAAUUAAACGUGAUGUAUCUACAAGAGCACAAAUUAUUGAAUUCUACGCUAAACCUACCAAUCAUGAUUUCAUCCUUAUAAAAAUUUCAUAUAAAUUAUAAAUAAACAAUUAAAUAUAAAGAACCAAAAAAAUCUAAAAGAACACAUACAUUAUAAUUUAUUUCUCUUCCACAUCGUUAUAUAAUACACAGUCAAUUAUAAUAUAUGGCUAUACAUUGUAGAGCAUAUUCCGCGCUACCGACCUAGUAUAUCUUUAUAUAUAAAAAUAUGUUUGCUUCAGGUCCUCCACGUCACUAAAUAGCUUAAUAUAGUGCUGACACGUGUCCCAUUUACCAAAGUGAUGCGUUUCAUUUAUCGUCUUCACGAACCAGGCAAUGUUUCUAGGGUUUGUCUCUUAUUCUGUCUUCAACACCAAAACAUUUCUUCUGUGUUCUGAAACCAAAACGAUGGACUGGCGAGGUAUUUCUCAGACUCACAUCGACAUCUUCAAUCUAAAAAUUAUUCUUUUUGUAUUGAGAAUUAGAAAGGGCGGAGAGAAAAAUAUAGAACGGCUGAGAGAUCAGAUAUUGUGAUGCGUUUUAGAAGCAUGGUCUGGAAAUCUUCAACGAGGGCUGACUUUAUCUCCGGAGAUAGCUCGAUGGGUUCGAUCACAUGCUCUGUUCUGUAAUUUGUUUCUUCGUUGAGGUUGAAUCGAAGAACAGAGGUCGGAGAACAGAGGCUCUGUAGUGGAUUUGUUUACCAUCAUCUACCUUUUUUUCUGAAACUUUACCAUCAUCUACCUUUCAACAACUUUUCGAUUUGUUUUAUCUUUGCCAAUGGGGUUGGGAAUCAUAAUAUGAUGACUUAUUUGAUACUCUUCUACUUAUUCUCUUUUAUGCUUCAGUUGCGGGAUUCAGUGAGAAAAUAAUAAUUUUGGUUUUGAUUCAUCAAUAGAAGAUUCAUAUUUUGAUUUUUGUGUGUUUUUGCUUUUUUUUUUUUUAGUAUUAGGAUUAUUGUGACUUAACAACAAUGUGAUAAUGGGAGCAUCUGAAGGAAGAGCGCAAUAGAGCAUUGUAACAAAGAACAUCACGUCGUGCUUUGUUUUUUUCUGAAACUUUUUUUUUUUUUAAAGGUUGGUCAAAUGGUGAAUAAAUAAACCAAGUGAGCUUACUGCUACGUGGGGAGUCCAGUUUCACAUCAAUGGGUUAAAAUCCCUCCACCUCCCUCUGAUCCUCAAGGUGAUUCUAGGUACCGUAUAUGGUUUAAUGACUCGCUUGGACGAGGACGGUGUCGUUUUGAGCUUUAAAGUGAUUAGGAUAGCUUCUUCGAGUUGAUUCACACGCCCGCGAUUAGCUAUCUAAAGCAAUUUAACAGGGAUGGAGUUCUGCUUUUAAGGAGAUUAGAUUCAAGAUUGUCUAAAGACUUACCCUCUGAUCUCCAGAAGCUCCGUUGUAAGGCAGCGUUUGAAGCACUGAAGUUCUCGCCAAGGGUUAUGGAGAUAUGGAAGAAGCUUGCAGAAAUUAAAGGAUGAGGAGCAAAUGUCCUUACAUUGCCCUUCAUCUUCGACUUGAGAAAGACGUGUGGGUGAUAACAAGCUGCCUUACUGGUUUGAGCUCAAAGUAUGAUGAGAUUGCAAGACUAGAAGGGAUUAAGCGGCCUGAGCUCUUAACAGCCAAAUCUAGCAUGACACCUAAUGAGAGGAAACUUGCAGGUCUCUGUCCGUUAAAUGCCAAGGAAGUUACAAGGUUAUUGAGUGAGCUACUGUUUUUCUUUACAACAAAUACGAUAUUGUACUUCCCCAUGAACUCAAACCUUUCGCAAAACGAGCUUCGAUAAUGGCAGCAAUCGACUAUAUAGUAUGCAAGGAGAGUGAUGUGUUCAUGGCAUCUCAUGGAGGAAACAUGGGCUGCGCAAUUCAGGGUCACAGAGCUUAUGAAGGACAUAAGAAGCUUAUAACACCAAACAAAAGGCAAAUGCUCCCAUACUUUUUGAACAAAACAAUGACUGAGACAGAGUCUGAGAAGAUGAUGAAGAAAUUUCACAGUCAAUCUCUAGGACAGCGAGAAAUAAGGGUUAGCAAAGCUGGAAGAGAUGUUACAAAGUAUCCUGUUCCUGAGUGUAUGUGCAUUAAUAAUCAAACCACUCACACUAUUUAAAACCUUUUUUUUGUUGUACAUACGAUUAUUAUCUUAAAUAAACAAAACAAUGACUGAGACA